UGUUUUUCAGUUCAGAGUUAUAUUGUGUUUCUCGUGGAAGUUAACAUUAAGUUUGUCUUCUUGCUGUAUUUUAUGCUCUUUUCAACGUUAGCAUUCUCGGAACGCCUGAUACUACUUGUAAAUUCUACAUAUUGGUACAUGUGAGCAUUAUUGAUUUAUCUACCGACUCAAAGAAACACAUGCCACAGAUUUAAAUUCCGGAUCAAUGACGUGUGAUGGAAAAUGUACAAAACUUUCUUUGUAAUAGUCAUUACAAAGGUUAUAUACGAGAUUUUGUGCAUCG